rnacentral:rRNA from 1 species
GAUGAACGCUGGCGGCGUGCCUAAUACAUGCAAGUCGAGCGAACGGACGAGAAGCUUGCUUCUCUGAUGUUAGCGGCGGACGGGUGAGUAACACGUGGAUAACCUACCUAUAAGACUGGGAUAACUUCGGGAAACCGUAGCUAAUACCGGAUAAUAUUUUGAACCGCAUGGUUCAAAAGUGAAAGACGGUCUUGCUGUCACUUAUAGAUGGAUCCGCGCUGCAUUAGCUAGUUGGUAAGGUAACGGCUUACCAAGGCAACGAUGCAUAGCCGACCUGAGAGGGUGAUCGGCCACACAGGAACUGAGACACGGUCCAGACUCCUACGGGAGGGAGCAGUAGGGAAUCUUCCGCAAUGGGCGAAAGCCUGACGGAGCAACGCCGCGUGAGUGAUGAAGGUCUUCGGAUCGUAAAACUCUGUUAUUAGGGAAGAACAUAUGUGUAAGUAACUGUGCACAUCUUGACGGUACCUAAUCAGAAAGCCACGGCUAACUACGUG